rnacentral:rRNA from 1 species
GUCCACGCCGUAAACGAUGGGUGCUAGGUGUGGGGUGUCGACUCCCUCCGUGCCGAAGCUAACGCAUUAAGCACCCCGCCUGGGGAGUACGGCCGCAAGGCUAAAACUCAAAGGAAUUGACGGGGCCCGCACAAGCAGCGGAGCAUGUGGUUUAAUUCGACGCGACGCGAAGAACCUUACCAAAGGCUUGACAUGCACGGGAAUGUCGGAGAAAUUCGGCAAGCCCCUUGGGGCUCGUGCACAGGUGGUGCAUGGCUGUCGU